CGCGCUGACCUGAGCCGAAGGAAGGAUUCUCAGCCAAUCAGAGCGCUCGUGAGGCACCGGACAUUUGCCCACAGGCGUCAGAAAAAUUGCCCUUGUCUUCGGAAAAGGCCAAACCCAGUAGGCUCUGCCUGCUUCUCUACAGACAACCCUUGAACCUGCCUAUUUCAGUGAAACAGGCUUAACUGGGCACUCAGCCUCCGUGUAGUACUUUGUAACCAACGUCCUCCUCGCCCCAUCUUUGACCGGAAUUUCCACAUUUACCGCAAGGGAUGUUGAAUGGAUUUCCUUUUUUUUUCAGCUGUUGAACUUCCUCACUCCUUACGGCCACUUAGGCCGGCACUCUUUUAAAGUGGUCGCAAAAGCUCUGCUGUGUUGGCGGUGCGCGUCUCUGUUCGCUUUCAGACCGCGGCAUUUUCCGGUUCCUUAGGAACGAGGGCUGCGGCAUUCAGCCUUUUCCGAAGUCAGUCUGGUUCGUUGAAACCAGGAGUCUUCGAUUAGUUACUGGUUUCACUCAGUUGGUUUGAAGCCUCUGGCGGAUCCUUUAUCCGAGUUGACCUGUCCGGAGGGCAAAUUUUUGUUCGUAUCAACGGCGGAGCCGUUGCUCAAAGUCGGGCGAGUUGCCCCGGUUGGAGAAGGAGUUUUUCCUUCUAUCACUGGAGGAGCCGUUGGCCAAAGUUGGCCUAGUUGGCCUCUCUGGAGAGUGAGUUUUUGCUGGUAUCCUAGGAGCUGUUGGUCAAAUUUUCCUAGAGAAGGAAGUUUCGAUCGGGUCGUUGGAGCUGUUGACCAUAAUCGGCCCAGUUGUCCCACCUGGAGGAGGAGUUUUUGCUGGUAUUCUGGCUCAAGUUGCUCAGGAAAAUAUGGAUUUUCCGGCGUUCGUUGGGGCGGACGCGGUGAGGGGCGGGGAAGCUCAGUCCGUCCUCCGGAAAAGAAGGUCGCCCUGAAGCCCACAUCGCGAUGACCGGACAUGGAUGACCACAUCCCUACAGUCCUCCCUAGCUCCCACCGCCAUGUCCGGAUGGCGUGGUCUCGGCGGCCAUGUCCCUACAGACCGCACGCUAACGUCCGCGUCCCUGUCCCUACCAUCCACGUCCCACCGACCGCGUUCCAGAGGCUGUGGCCGGGUGACCACUUUCCUACAGACCACAACCUAAUGCCCGCGUCCUUGUCAUCUCCUUCCUCGUCUCAGGGGCCACGUCCCGGCGGCCAAGCGUGGACGACCAUCCCGCUACGGAGCAGGUGCCGACACCCCCAUCCUGACGUCCACACCUGGGACGAGAAGAGUUGCUGGUUGGAGGAGCUCCCGGGCGGCCCGCCCGAGUGGGCCCUGGGCCGCAGAGCCAGAGGAGUGUCCCAAAUGGUUCCUCUGCCCCCAUCUUGGCAUGGGGGUGGCUGGCUCUUUCUGGUGGGGGCGGGCGGGCUCCCCUCCGAGGGCUCGAUUAGGGCCAGAGGCCCAGGAAGGUCGGGGGUCUGGGGGUCUUGGGGGUCUGGGGCUCUGGGAGAACAUUUCUGAUUUCUCUGUCAGCGGCAGAUCCGCGUCUAAUCAAAAGCCUUAAUUAAAAAAAAUUCGCUGGUA